rnacentral:rRNA from 1 species
GUGCAGCAGCCGCGGUCAUACCGGCAGCUCAAGUGCUGUCCCAUAUUAUUGGGCCUAAAGCGUCCGUAGCUGGCCGUCCAAGUCUCCCGGGAAAUCCACCCGCCCAACGGGUGGGCGUCCGGUAGAAACUGGCCGGCUUGGAACCGGAAGGCUCAGAGAGUACGUCCGGGGUAGGAGUGAAAUCCCGUAAUCCCGGACGGACUACCGAUGGCGAAAGCACUCUGAGAAGACGGCUUCGACAGUGAGGGACGAAAGCUCGGGUCUCAAACCGGAUUAGAAACCCCUGUAGUCC